rnacentral:rRNA from 1 species
UACGUAGGGGGCAAGCGUUGUCCGGAUUUAUUGGGCGUAAAGAGCGUGUAGGCGGCCAGGUAGGUCUGCUGUGAAAACUCGAGGCUCAACCUCGAGCUGUCGGUGGAAACCACAUGGCUAGAGUCCGGAAGAGGAGAGUGGAAUUCCUGGUGUAGCGGUGAAAUGCGCAGAUAUCAGGAAGAACACCAAUGGCGAAGGCAGCUCUCUGGGACGGUACUGACACUGAGACGCGAAAGCGCGGGGAGCGAACGGG